rnacentral:rRNA from 1 species
GCCCUUAACCAAAGCACCCGGAGAGCACCCAAUGUCAUCAGAUCUCGGGAGCUAAGCGGGGUUGAGCUUGGAUAGUGGAUAGAUGGGCGACCACUGUGCACAGACAGGUUGCCAUAGGCC